UCUUUGACUCUGAAACCAGGACCAAGAUCCCAUCAUCUGGAUCAGCGCUGGAACCGGGGCUGAACUGGUAACUCAAAUUCAGAGAGCAUCCUGGUUGUGGAGGACAACUCUAAUUGCAGGAAAUCAUCCUGAGCCCCAGAAAAGACUAACAGCCUGCUCCUGUUGGCAUGAUUCUCAUAUCGGUAAAGAAGCUGCUGGUUCUUUACAACCUCAGACAGCUGUUGAAGCAAGCACAAGACAAAAGACAGAAGUCGGAUUCUGUUCAUUACAAUGUGAAAGGGGGCCACUGAGUAAUGGAACAAGUGAAGACAAAGGGGGAACACCACUGAAGGCAACAACGAUGGGCGUCAGGACCCUGAGGCUUGAGUUUAUGGGUUGAGUUUCCUGCAGCCAGUUCCCACCAGGUGCUAUUCUGUCAAGGCUCUCUGACCCUGUCAGGUGCACCAGGGUCAGGGAGCAGUUGUGGGGGAUAUCAGUGCUGCCCCAAGGACACAUGGAGUGAUUGUUAAGCCUGGCUCAUGUGCAUGGGAGGAGAACCAGCACCUUCUGCUCCUGCAUGAUGGACAUCCAGAUGGUGUUGUGCACAUGCAGCUUGUUGUUGCCCUGGCCAGUCUGUUAGAUUUCCAGCUGCAUUCCACAAUCCCUCCUUCCCAGCAUCAUAUCCCACUGAGGUUUGUUAUAGAUUUCCAGGAAACUGGAGGUAAAAACUUCCCAACUGGCCUUAGGUGGUGGCACGUAUCUGUCCAGGUUUGCCUGGAUGAGCAGAUGAAUCUUCUGGAAUACUUUGGUAAACUCUGGGUGGGAACACAUUGAAGCUGAAGCUGUAGUGGAGCUCUGGGCUGCACUCCCAACCCACGUGGGACACCUUUGGGCCACUCCAGCACUAGAGCCCCAGACUUUUGGAGGGUGAGUGCCACAGCCCCUGCUGCCAGCCUGACUGCUUUGGAACCACUGGCAGCAGAACACAGGGAUAUUCCUCUUGAGCUCCUGGCUUGUAGAAGCGCUACUCUUUCUGCUCUUCCAGGAGGGUUUUGUGGAAUAUUUCCAAGUCCCAGAGCUUGGCCACAUGGUCGACAUGAACCCACAGAUGCUCUUUCACCAUGCUCAGGCAGGUCGUGAUUUUCAGCCUCUCCCUCAGCACCUACUCCCAGACUUCAGCCUCACCAUACCCCCGCCUCCGCUGUUCCUCUACCCUCAGCCACCACUCCUCAUCUGCCCAAACUGUGGACUUGCACCUUGUCUGUUCCAGCUCCGUCUGGAAUUCCAACGGCUCCAACUCCAUGGAGCCCACCCAAAUAUUGAGGUUGUUACCCUGGCAUUCCAGUCCCUGCUGCUCCCUCUGGAGCCCCUCCAGCUGCCGCUGCAGUUUCCCACUCCUGCUUCUCCAUCUCCAGGUCGCAGAGACACUCAUAGACUCUCCGGAGCAGCCCCUGGAGACCCUCCCCUUGGCUUCCCAGCUCCAGAAUCUCCUUAGAGGGUGCCAGAAUGAAAAGGAGCAGAAUUAGGGCAGUCUGAAGGUAGACGUUCAUACAAAUGUUUUCUAAAUUUUAGUAGCUGGUCACUUCUUUUAAUAUUGGACCCAGUGGCCUUGUUCCUCUGUCAGAUAAACUGGUGGUAACUAGUUAUGCUGAAACAACUCCACAUCUGCCCAAAUGCAAACAUCUUGACUUGCAAUAUGUGCAAAAACUGCCUACUUGGAAACAUUCUGUGUAAACUGGGUAUAAGGGAGGGAGUCUCUGCCCCAUAUUGGCAAGAAACUGUUCUAUGAAGAGAACCUAUGCUGUUUUGUACUUUUAGGUACUGGCUGCACUUUAUUCACCUCCUUGCAGGCAAAUAUUCACUCAUCCAGUUGAACACAGGCUUUGUGUGUACAUAAAAAAUUUCUCUGAUUAAGCAUUUUUUUCACUUGAACUUUUCCACUACAGAAAUGUUGAAUAUGUCUUUGUAACUAUAUAGCUGCACUCUAUAUAGGUGCACUGUGAUCUGACAAAUGCUCAUUAGUCUUAUAGAAAUAAGCACCCAAUAUUAGGGGAUGUGACUUUAAUUAUCCAGCCCCUGUUACAACACAGGAAUUACUGCAAUCUACCUGCACAUACUGUAGAGAUUUACUGCCCAACCCCUUUGGGAUGGACCGUGCACUAGUGAAAAAAAAUUCUGCAGCACGAUGACCUGUGUCGACUGCUGGAAUGCACCCAGAGCAGUGGACACAGGACCCUAAUCACCAUUCACCACAGUACAGAAAAGAUGCAUAGCACAGAAAUUAUCUUGGAAAGAGCAGCGGGAAUAUCACUAGUGGGACAUAUGGUUUGGGUGGUCAUCAACUGCAACAGGAAUUCUAGAAAUAGUGUUGCACUUUAUUGUAGUUUUUGUGAUUUAUGUUGUGUUAUUCUUAUUGUUGAAUAUAGUUCUAUAUGUUAGAGUAUGUAUACUAGCUAGACAUGCACUGCUGUGGCACAGACCUCCUCACCUAUAAUAUUGUUUUAUUCAAAACAGUCCUUAAAAAACACAUUAUUUCGGUAACCUGAUCAAGAAUUUCUAUCAACUUAAAAUUGGAGUGUGUUACAUUUUUUUUUAAAGGCACAGAGGCAAGAGGUGACCAGACUGCUAAUCUGUCAGUUCCCAGGAAAUGCUGCUGUCUAAUGAGCUCCAGCUUUUUAACCAACAGCCUUGGAAACUUAUUUUUCUUGCCUGGAAAAAAACUAAAGAAAACCAAACAAGGGGGACGACAUUUUUAUUAUUGAGCUUUCAAAGAAAGUUACUGGCCUGAAUUGAGGUCUGGAUGGAAAACUACUCUGACUAAAGCCCCCCGUCUUGUGACAUUAUAAACAGUGGUCCAAAGUGAGACUCCUUGAGCUCUCCUCAGGGGCUGUGAUCAGCCCCUCCCUCUGACUGGGGCCUCUCUCUCUGAAGCCUCAAAACACUCAAGCUUGCCAAAUUUGGAGGACACGCUCCAAAUAACAAUGAUGAUUUCGGAGCUCACACUCCACUCCUCAAGGUUCAGCCUUGAGCCCACUGAAAAGAUGCAAAGGCAAGCAAAUUGACUACUGCACUGAACUCAAAGGGAUUGUUUCACAGGUAUACCUUGAACAAACUCCUUAUGUUUGUGUGCAUGCAAGUGUGAAAAUGCUGGAGCAAAUACACAAGGAAGGUUGUUCUAGCUUAGUAUUUUAGAGUUGGGGCUGUAAGCAGGCUAGAGUAAAUUUUAUAUUCUGUUCUAUUUCUAUAGUAAAUUCUCUCCACUGCUAAGUAAUUGUAGUAAAUUAUCUUUUAAGUGUCAUUAAAUGUUAAAUACUGUUAAGUGUUUUUAAGUUUAUGUCCUGUUAGGUUUAAGUGCUGUUAAGUUUAAGUUCUGUUAAGUUUAAGUGAUGUCAGGUUCUGUUAAGUUUAAAUUAUAUUAGGUUUAAGUUAUGUAGAAUUUAAAGUCGGUUGAGUUCUGUUAAGGUUAGGUUCUGUUAAAUUUAAGUGAUGUUACAUGUAAGUUCUGUUGAUUUGAGGCUCUGUUAAGUUUAAUUUCUGUUAAGUUUAAAUGAAGUUAAGUGAUGUUAAGUUCUGAUAAGUUUAAGUAUUUUAAGUUUAGGAGUUUUAAGUUUAAGUGCUAUUAGGUUUAAGUGAUGUUAAGGUUAAGUACUGCUGGGUGUUUGGAAAAACUGUAGGCCCAGUUUGGGUCCAGUUUAACAUGGGGAUAAACUCUGAACCUUGUGACCCAACACAAGGGGAUUGCACAUUUCUCUUCAUUCUUUCCUCUUCAAAUCCACCCUCCCCUGUCCUCCCACUGAUGCCUAAAGAAGCCAUCUGGAACAGAGGCUAGACACAGUUAAAGAAUAAAGUAGAUGUUUAUUAAAAGGCCUUCAAGGAUACACCCUGGGCACUAUAAGAGCCUGGCUGAGGCUACACCCAAGAUGAAUGAUCAGUCACGAGUUUUCACACUUUUAUAAGUUUUCGUCCAUUUACAUAUUGGGGUUCAUUGUCCAAUUACAGCUUCAGGUUAUGAAGUCCCAUCCUCUGGGUUUUCUCUCUUCAAUUUGCCUUUUUGUCCCUGAAGCUGCAACAGUCUCCUUGAUUCUCAGGCUGGAAAAGAAUUGUUUUGUCUAACUACACUGUGAAAAGAUCUUGCUAACACUUUAUAUGAAGUUCAGAGCUAUGUACUAAAGCAGUGCAGAAUCUGGAAAAUAUGAAUGCUAAAACUUAAGGCAUUACCACCUCCCCUGUCACCCACCCUCCCCUGUCUCUUGCCAGCCUUCAUAUAGGUAGUUUUAAAUUAGUUUGAGAUUUUUGUUUGCUUUUUCUCUCUCUUUUAACCAUCUUGUUAAAGAUGUUCACUUUCUAAUUAGUAGAGCGAACCUUGCCAACACACUUUGUCAUGCUUUUACUUCUGUAAUAAAUCUCCUUUAGCAAAUA